AAUGAACGUUGGCGGCGUGGAUUAGGCAUGCAAGUCGAGCGCUCAUAGCAAUAUGGGAGCGGCGAACGGCGUAGUAAUGCAUCGGAACGUACCCUUCGGUCGGGGAUAGCCACGGGAAACUGUGGGUAAUACCCGAUGAUAUCUGCGGAUCAAAGGUGAGAUUCCGCCGGAGGAGCGGCUGAUGUGAUAUUAGCUUGAUGGUGGGGUAAUGGCCUACCAUGGCGAUGAUGUCUAGGGGGUGUGAGAGCAUGGCCCCCACGACCGGAACUGAGACACUGUCCGGACACCUACGGGUGGCUGCAGUCGAGAAUCUUCCGCAAUGGACGAAAGUCUGACGGAGCGACGCCGCGUGCGGGAUGAAGGCCCUUGGGUUGUAAACCGCUGUCAGAGGGGAUGAAAUCUCCGGGGGUACUCCCCCGGAGUUGACAGAGCCUCAAAGGAAGCACGGGCUAAGUACGUGCCAGCAGCCGCGGUAAUGUCUAGCA
rnacentral:rRNA from 1 species